rnacentral:rRNA from 1 species
AUUGAACGCUGGCGGCAGGCCUAACACAUGCAAGUCGAACGGUAACAGGAAACAGCUUGCUGUUUCGCUGACGAGUGGCGGACGGGUGAGUAAUGUCUGGGAAACUGCCUGAUGGAGAGGGAUAACUACUGGAAACGGUAGCUAAUACCGCAUAACGUCGCAAGACCAAAGAGGGGGACCUUCGGGCCUCUUGCCAUCGGAUGUGCCCAGAUGGGAUUAGCUGGUAGGUGGGGUAACGGCUCACCUAGGCGACGAUCCCUAGCUGGUCUGAGAGGAUGACCAGCCACACUGGAACUGAGACACGGUCCAGACUCCUACGGGAGGCAGCAGUGGGGAAUAUUGCACAAUGGGCGCAAGCCUGAUGCAGCCAUGCCGCGUGUAUGAAGAAGGCCUUCGGGUUGUAAAGUACUUUCAGCGGGGAGGAAGGGAGUAAAGUUAAUACCUUUGCUCAUUGACGUUACCCGCAGAAGAAGCACCGGCUAACUCCGUGCCAGCCGCCGCUGUAA